CAGUAGCCACGGUAAUACGAAGGGGGCUAGCGUUGCUCGGAAUCACUGGGCGUAAAGGGUGCGUAGGCGGGUCUUUAAGUCAGGGGUGAAAUCCUGGAGCUCAACUCCAGAACUGCCUUUGAUACUGAAGAUCUUGUGUUCGGGAGAGGUGAGUGGAACUGCGAGUGUAGAGGUGAAAUUCGUAGAUAUUCGCAAGAACACCAGUGGCGAAGGCGGCUCACUGGCCCGAUACUGACGCUGAGGCACGAAAGCGUGGGGAGCAAACAGGAUUAGAGACCCCCGUAGUCCCUGUCUCUUAUCC
rnacentral:rRNA from 1 species